rnacentral:rRNA from 1 species
GAUGAACGCUGGCGGCGUGCCUAAUACAUGCAAGUCGAACGAAACUUCUUUAUCACCGAGUGCUUGCACUCACCGAUAAAGAGUUGAGUGGCGAACGGGUGAGUAACACGUGGGCAACCUGCCCAAAAGAGGGGGAUAACACUUGGAAACAGGUGCUAAUACCGCAUAACCAUAGUUACCGCAUAGUAACUAUGUAAAAGGUGGCUAUACUACCGCUUUUGGAUGGGCCCGCGGCGCAUUAGCUAGUUGGUAGGGUAAAGGCUUACCAAGGCAAUGAUGCGUAGCCGAAUUGAGAGGUUGAUCGGCCACAUUGGGACUGAGACACGGCCCAAACUCCUACGGGAGGCAGCAGUAGGGAAUCUUCCACAAUGGGCGAAAGCCUGAUGGAGCAACGCCGCGUGGGUGAAGAAGGUCUUCGGAUCGUAAAACCCUGUUGUUAGAGAAGAAAGUGCGUGAGAGUAACUGUUCACGUUUCGACGGUAUCUAACCAGAAAGCCACGGCUAACUACGUG